rnacentral:tRNA from 1 species
GGCGGGAUGGCUGAGUUAGAUAGGCGGCGGGCUGCAACCCCGUUCACGCCGGGGCAGAUCCGGCUCUCGUCU